AUUGAACGCUGGCGGCAUGCCUUACACAUGCAAGUCGAACGGUAACAGGUCUUCGGAUGCUGACGAGUGGCGAACGGGUGAGUAAUGCAUCGGAACGUGCCCAGUUGUGGGGGAUAACUGCUCGAAAGAGCAGCUAAUACCGCAUACGACCUGAGGGUGAAAGCGGGGGAUCGCAAGACCUCGCGCAAUUGGAGCGGCCGAUGUCAGAUUAGGUAGUUGGUGGGGUAAAGGCCUACCAAGCCGACGAUCUGUAGUUGGUCUGAGAGGACGACCAGCCACACUGGGACUGAGACACGGCCCAGACUCCUACGGGAGGCAGCAGUGGGGAAUUUUGGACAAUGGGCGCAAGCCUGAUCCAGCAAUGCCGCGUGCAGGAAGAAGGCCUUCGGGUUGUAAACUGCUUUUGUCAGGGAAGAAAUCCUCUGGGUUAACACCCCGGGGGGAUGACGGUACCUGAAGAAUAAGCACCGGCUAACUACGUGCCAGCCGCCGCAGUAACAC
rnacentral:rRNA from 1 species